AGGGAAUCUUCCGCAAUGGACGAAAGUCUGACGGAGCAACGCCGCGUGAGUGAUGAAGGUUUUCGGAUCGUAAAGCUCUGUUGCCAGGGAAGAACGUCCGUUAGAGUAACUGCUAACGGAGUGACGGUACCUGAGAAGAAAGCCCCGGCUAACUACGUGCCAGCAGCCGCGGUAAUACGUAGGGGGCAAGCGUUGUCCGGAAUUAUUGGGCGUAAAGCGCGCGCAGGCGGCUGUUUAAGUCUGGUGUUUAAGCCCGGGGCUCAACCCCGGUUCGCACUGGAAACUGGAUGGCUUGAGUGCAGAAGAGGAGAGUGGAAUUCCACGUGUAGCGGUGAAAUGCGUAGAGAUGUGGAGGAACACCAGUGGCGAAGGCGACUCUCUGGGCUGUAACUGACGCUGAGGUGCGAAAGCGUGGGGAGCAAAC
rnacentral:rRNA from 1 species